ensembl:lncRNA
UGGCAGCUGUUCCGAUUGUAUCGCUUGCAUGAGAGACCUCUGAGCUUGGCAUCUGAGGAUAACAUCUGUCACUCAUCCAGCACUUUAAGACAAUGAGUACAAAGAAAAUGUAUUGAUUCUGAACGUGGCGUGCCCUUGCUGGCUGGACCCAUGACGGAGGAAAAGUUUGCAGGACUUAUGGCAUGGAGUUGCUUCUUCCAUUCUCCGAUCCAGGCGAAUCCAGCAGAAGGGUGUUUGUAAUUACUGUUUGAAGGAGAAAGGCGAGGAUGGGGCGGUCUUUAUCAGAACAGACACUGGUGCCUCAGAUCCUCAUUCAUGUCUCCACUUCCUAGUUGGAUUACCGUCUUCCGUGUUCGUGUGCUGGAUUGUGUUCGUGUUGUCGUCUUCGUGUCAGUGUUCCGGUCUGUUCCUGGUUUCAUCCAUUGACCGUCUUCACCUUCACCUUCGACUUCACCAUCCAGCUCUUCUCACGCCACCGUAGACCUUCGUUUCCAUUGCCUACAUUCUGGACUCUGAUAUCAAUAAACUUCUUCUGAUUGCCUGCAAUUGCUUCCUCCUCUUUUACAAGCCGU